rnacentral:rRNA from 1 species
AUUGAACGCUGGCGGAAUGCUUUACACAUGCAAGUCGAGCGGCAGCACGGGGGCAACCCUGGUGGCGAGCGGCGAACGGGUGAGUAAUACAUCGGAACAUGCCCAGUCGUGGGGGAUAACACUUCGAAAGAAGUGCUAAUACCGCAUACGUCCUGAGGGAGAAAGCGGGGGAUCUUCGGACCUCGCGCGAUUGGAGUGGCCGAUGUCAGAUGAGCUAGUUGGUGGGGUAAAGGCCUACCAAGGCAACGAUCUGUAGCUGGUCUGAGAGGAUGAUCAGCCACACUGGGACUGAGACACGGCCCAGACUCCUACGGGAGGCAGCAGUGGGGAAUUUUGGACAAUGGGGGCAACCCUGAUCCAGCCAUUCCGCGUGAGUGAAGAAGGCCUUCGGGUUGUAAAGCUCUUUCGGCAGGAACGAAACGGCGAGCUCUAACAUAGCUUGCUAAUGACGGUACCUGAAGAAGAAGCACCGGCUAACUACGUGCCAGCAGCCGCCGUAA